UUCGUAGGGGGCAAGCGUUGUCCGGAUUUAUUGGGCGUAAAGAGCGUGUAGGCGGCCUGGAAGGUCAGCUGUGAAAACUCGAGGCUCAACCUCGAGACGUCGGUUGAAACCACCUGGCUAGAGUCCGGAAGAGGAGAGUGGAAUUCCCGGUGUAGCGGUGAAAUGCGCAGAUAUCGGGAAGAACACCCGUGGCGAAGGCGGCUCUCUGGGACGGUACUGACGCUGAGACGCGAAAGCGUGGGGAGCGAACAGG
rnacentral:rRNA from 1 species